rnacentral:rRNA from 1 species
AUUGAACGCUGGCGGGAUGCUUUACACAUGCAAGUCGAACGAGUGGCGGACGGGUGAGUAAUCUCUGGGAACCUGCCCAGUAGCGGGGGAUAACUACUCGAAACUGUGGCUAAUACCGCAUACUUUUGGAGCUGCCCAAAUCGGAUUAGCUACUGGGUGGGGUAAAGGCUGACCUAGUCAACGAUCCGUAGCUGGUUUGAGAGGACGACCAGCGAAGCGUUGACUGAGACACGGUCCAGACUCCGACGGGAGGCAGCAGUGGGGAAUGUUGGACAAUGAGGGCAACCCUGAUCCAGCCAUCCCGCGUGUAUGAGAAGGCCUUCGGGUUGUAAAGUACUUUCGGCAGUGAAGCGGUACCUGCAGAAUAAGCACCGGCUAACUACGUGCCAGCAGCCGCGGUAAUAC